rnacentral:rRNA from 1 species
UACCAGCACCCCGAGUGGUCGGGACGAUUAUUGGGCCUAAAGCAUCCGUAGCCGGUUCUGCAAGUCCCCCGUUAAAUCCAGCUGCUCAACAGAUGGGCCGCGGAGGAUACUCCAGAGCUAGGAGGCAGGAGAGGCAAGCGGUACUCAGUGGGUAGGGGUAAAAUCCGUUGAUCCAUUGAAGACCACCCGUGGCGAAAGCGGCUCACUGGACCACAACUGACGCUGAUGCACGAAAGCUAGGGGAGCAAACAGG